rnacentral:lncRNA from 1 species
UAGAAUUUAGAAUCUCAUUUCCAUUAUUCUACCUAAAGUGCCGACCUUCUUCCCCAAACAAAAAAAAAACAGAGUCGCCAUCUUCCUCUUUCAAGUUAGAGUUUGUAGAGAAAUUUCAAGUAGCAACUGUAGUAUUUUGAAAGAAAAGGUGAAUUCUUAAAUUCUCUACCUAUUUGUGAUUCUAGCUUGAAGAAAAAAGGGUAUAUUUUGAAGUUUAGGGUUUCGAAAAUUUGGGGAUUUCAUGCUAGAGUUGAAGUAUGAUCUUAAUAUUGAGAUAUAUUAUGUUUUUGAUGUUCAUAAGCAUGAUUAUGGUGCUUAAUUGCGUAAAUUCUCACUGGAUUUUAAUUUUGCUCAAGAACCCUAGGUUGAGUUUGAGAGUUGUGAUUAUGUUCUUGAAUAAUUUAGUUCACAUAUGUGUUUUUGAGCUGGAAUUUAUGUCAUAUAUGAAUAAAUUAUGAGUUUACACCAUAUAGGAUGUGAGAUUGAGUUUGUUAGUUUAAUGGAAAUUAGGGCUUUUGAGUUAAGAAGGUUUAUAUGCUAUUAAUUGAUGAAUAUAGAUAUAUAUUAUGAUGUGAUUUUAUCAAAUAUGGAAAUUAGAACAGCCCUAAUGUAUGGAAAAUUGUUAUAAGAAUUGUUAUGUUGUAACUUGUUGGCUUUGUUGUGUUAAACAUGAGUUAAGUUUGAAGUUAAAGCAUUCUAGUAUGUAUUAUGAUCAUGUAUUUGAGUCUCUACACUUUUUAUUUGGCCAAAGUAUGAGUUAUAAGUUAAAUUGAAACAAAGAAUACAUUGCUGUCAGUUUUUAACUUGGCAGAACAGUGUCUCGUGGGAUGUUUUUGAUGAUGUUCCCGUAGUCCAAAUCUGUUGAAAUUUUUACAGUAAUAACUUCAUCAUGAGUAGUACGUGUCUGUAAAAUUUCAGCUAAAUCCAACACCAUUAGAUAUGUCGAACUAUUUUAUGAAAUGUACUGCGCGAAGCAGCGAAGUUCAGUGGCAGAUUUUGCCUUUCUUGAUAUAAUUUCUUAUACACUUGAGAUAUUGUGUUUCUGUAAAUUCAUGAUAAAUAUAGACUUUAAUAGAUUUCUAAAAAGGUAAAGCUUGUAUUUUUCUUUGAAGAAGUUGAUUUUAUAUGAUAUUUCAAAGUUAAGAUUCAUAUAUGAUUACAUAUUUGAGAUUUCUUACUUGAGCAAGUUAUUAAUAGAACUAUGCUAAGUGAUUGAUGUUUAGUUAUUAAUUGUAAGCUAAUCUAUAUAGAAUGGAUUAGUUUACUCUUAAGCUUUUCUCAAGUGGAGAUAUCCCAAGAGAUGUGAUGUUACUAUUUGCUUUUAGCUAAGUCCAUAUAAGUAGGAUACUCAAGUUAGAGGAUGCAACUUUCAAGUGAUAGAAGUUUCAUUCAAGAUUUACUUUCUACUUACUUAUUAUCCAAUCUUACUUGGGAACCUCAUUAUAAUGAAGGUUCGAAUGGCAGUGUAGAAUGAACAAGCAAGGACUUCUAUUUCAUUAAGCGUAUCAGGUGGGCUUACUAACUCAAGAGAUAAAGAUGCAUACUUUAUUAUAUAAAGUUUGAGUGUAUGCAUUUAUUUACAAAUUAUUGACUUGCCAAUCUUUGAGUUUUGUAUGAUACCAUCUACAUAGAAGAACGAAUUCGGGUCCUGAGCGAGUCAGGAUUUGUGUACACAGAGUUGACAGUUAACCUUUGUGUUAGCUUGUCAUCGUGUUUGAGAAGGAGGCCUACUUCUCAACACUCAGAGUUAUAUGAUGCGUAGAUAUGGUACAUACAUGUUAAUGUCUGCAGACGUAUAUGAUGUUAUAUAUGAUGAUUAUAGAGAAGUUUUACAGUUUUUGCGUGCACAGGUUAUUUAAGUAAAACUCUGUGUGAUGCUUGAAAUGGCAAGUUCAAUAUAUAGCUCUAAGAGCAAGCUUUUAAGUUAUUUCGGCAUGACCACUGAGUGCUUUUUGGUACUCAGCCCUGCGUAUGUUUUUAAAUAUGCAGGUUAAGCUGUGAUGCAGAUGGUAGCAAGCAGAGCAAAGCCUUCGGUGUAUAUAUGUAUAAUUUAGGCUCGGGAUUUCAUGUCCUCAUACAUGUAAUACACUUGAGUUAUUUCCGCUGCAACACUUAAUGUACUUACUUUAUUGAGUGUUGUAGAGAUUUUAAACCAAUAGCUUCGAGAAUUAUAUCAUUAGACAACUUGUGUUGUGUUAUUGUAGGUUGUCUACUCGUGAGUUUUAAAAGUGAUUGUUUAUGAUUACCAUACAUUAUGGUAAAGUAUUGCUUAAGUAAAAUAAUUAUUUUUAUUGAAACCUUUUUAUUUUUCAUUUUCUUUCUCCCUUCCCCAAUCACACAUUUUCCCCGACUUAACUGUUGUUAGUUUAGGUCGGGCUGUGACAGAGCAAGAUUUGAAUUCUUGACCUUUGGAAGAAAGGAUGAGGGCUUAUACACUCCACCAACUUAUAACUUAUGAUUAUUUAGAACAAAAAAAAAAGUUUUAUAGAGACUUGUAUUUUUAUAUUAAACAAAAAAAGAACACAUCUAAUAAAUGAAUUCCCAACCUAGGCAACAAUUAACGACAAUUACAGUAAACAAACUAACACACAUUACAACCAAAAUCCACAAUAAUAAGUCAAUUACUUUCAAUCCAUAAAAAAGUCUAAUGAAAUUAAAACAUAAUCUAAAAUAUAAAGUAACACAAGUGGACCUUGUCCCUGAAGAUUUCCGAGCUCUUUUUGCCUUUGGUUCUUCAACUUCUUCACUUCUAGUUCACGUACUUCAACCUCUUCAAACAUAUCAUCGUCUUCAAUUCCAAGCCUAUUACUAACUUGUUGUGUGAUAGAUUGUAACAUCCGGCAUUUUCGCUACAGUAUAUAUAUUAUUAUUAAUAUUAUUUUCUAUUUUCUAUUAUCUAAAAGAAGAAAGAGAAGUAGAAUCACUGAGAUGAGAUGAGAUAUUAUUAUAAUGUCCUGGGCUUUUAAUUCAGUAAUUGCAUAAUUUGAAUAGUUAAGUAUUCUUGCAUCCUUUAUUAUUUUCAUACUUGGAAGCAAGUUUAUAAUUCCUAGUUCAAUGGAUUAUUUUAUUAUUUUCAUAGAUGAGAAUAGUGAUAAAUACGAAAUAUUAUUAGUCGAUUUAUUGCUUGACUAAUUGAAGUGACGGAUGUUAUUUAAUUAUUUAUCUAUGAGCUUUCUUAUUUUAAUAGUGAUGAUUUAUUAUUAAACCAUGAAUUUGAGAUUUGGAUUUGAAUUCUUACUAGUUUGAGUAAAUUUAGUAUAUAUAUUAAGAAUUGUAUUAUAUUUUAUGGAGUGUAUAAUAAUUUAUUAAUUUAGAUAGCUAUCAAAUACUACUUGAGCUUGGAGCACAAGUUUCGUGAGUCAUGUUAGUGUAGAGAAUUGCUUUUUAUUUUUAUUUGAUUUAAUUUUAGGGGCCAUAAAAUAAGGCUUAUAGGAAAAGCCAAGUUUUCCUCUUAUUCUUUUUUCUCCUACAAGCCCCAAAUGGGCCGAUCAAUGAGGGAACCAAAAUUGGUUUCAAGUUAAAUUCUCAUCUCAACAAAUGAGUUUUAAAUUGUUAAUUUCAACUCCCAAGUAAGAGGCUAUAUAUAUAUAAUUCUUUACAUUUAAAGGAAACUCAUUUCCUUCUUCUACCAUUAACUGUCGAGUUUUUCCCCCAAAAGCAGAAUCACCAUUUUCUUUCUUCAAGUUCAAUUCGGAGAGAAAUUUCAAAUAGUAGCUGCAAUACUUUGAUAAUAAAGGUUAAUUUCUUUGAUCCUCUGUUACCUCUAUGAUUUUAGCUUGAAGAAAAUUUAUUCUUUUAAUUCUAGGGUUUUCGAAAAUUUGGGAGUUUUAUGCUAGAGUUGAAGUAUGAUCUUAAUAUUGAGAUAUAUUAAGUUUUUGAAGGUCCUAAGCAUGGUUAUGGUGGCUAAUUGUGUUAAUUCUUACUUGAUUUCGAGUUUACUCAAAUUAGUAUGAACCCUAGGUUUGAGGUUGAGAGUUAUGAUUAGGUAAUUGAAUAAUUGGACUCAUAUAUGUGUUCUUGAGUUGGAAUUAAGUCAUAUAUGAGUAAAUUAUGAGUUUACACCACAUAGUUUGUGAGAGUGAUUUUGUUAGUUUAAGUGGAUUUGGGAAUUCUUGAUAUAAGAUAGCUACAUGUUUGGUGCUUGUGUAAUUGUACUCUGAGUUGUAAAAUGAGAUUAUAUGAGAAUAAUUGGAGGAUAUUAAGCAUGCUACUAUAUGUUGAUGUGUUAAACAUGAAUUAAGUUAAGCUAAAGCAUGCUAAUGUGUAUUAAGAUGAUGUAUUUGAGUUCCUAUAGCUUUUAUUUGAGAAAAAUAUGAGUGAUAUGUCAAUGAGCAUUGCUGUCAGUUUUCGGCUUGACAGGGCAGUAUGUUUCGAGGUGCUUCUGAUGGUGUUCUCAUAGUCUAAAUAACUUGAAAUUUUUACUGUAAUAACUUCAUCAUGUGUAGUCGUUCUCUGCAAAAUUUCAGCUAAAUCCGAGACCAUUAGAUAUGCUAACUUAUUUUCUGAGAUGUACUGCGCGAAGCAGCGAAGUUCAGUGGCAGAUUUUGCCUUUUGUGAUAUAACUUCUCAUACACUUAAUGUAUUAUAUUUUUGGAACUUUCUAAUAAAAAUAGACUUUGAGAGAUUUCUAAAAAUGUAAAGCUUGUAUUUUUCUUUAAAGAGGUUGAUUUUAUAUGAUAUUUCAAAGUUGAGAUUCAUUUAUGAAGACAUGUUUGAGAUUUCUUACUUGGGAUAGUUGAGUACAAUUGUGCUUAAGUCAUUGGUCAAUUCUUGAAUUGAUGUUUUAGUUUUUAAUUGCAAGAGAUAUCCCAAGAGAUAUGAUGUUAUUGUUUGUUUUUAGUUAGUUAAGUCCAUAUAAGUAGAAUACCCACAUUAGAGGAUGCAACUUUCAAGUGAUAGAAGUUUCAUUCAAGAUUUACUUUCUAUUUACUUACUUAUUAUCCAAUCUUACUUGGGAACCUCAUUAUAAUGAAGGUUCGAGUGGCUAUAAAGUGAACAAGCAAGGACUUUUACUUCAUUAAGUAUAUCAGGUGGGCUUACUAACUCAAGAAGUAAAGAUGCAUACUUUAUUAUAUAGAGUUUGAGUGUAUGCAUUUAUUUUCAAAUUAUUGACUUGCCAAUAUUUGAGAUUUGUAUGAUACCAUCUACAUAGAAGAACGAAUUCGGGUCCUGAGCGAGUCAGGAUUUGCAUACACAGAGUUGACAAUUAACCUUUGUGUUAGCUUGUCAUCGUGUUUGAGAAGGAGGCCUACUUCUCAACACUCAGAGUUAUAUGAUGCGUAGAUAUGGUACAUACAUGUUAAUAGUCUGCAGACGUAUAUGAUGUUAUGAUGAUUAUAGAGAAGUUUUACAGUUUUGCAUACACAGGUUAUUUAAAUAAAACUCAUGUGUGAUGUUUGAGAUGGCAAGUUCAAUAUAUAGCUCUAAGAGCAAGCUUUAAAGUUAUUUCGGCAUGACCACUGAGUGCUUUUUGGUACUCAGCCCUGCAUAUGUUUCUAAAUAUGCAGGUUAAGCUGUGAUGCAGAUGGAAGCAAGCCGAGCAAAGCCUUCGGUGUAUAUAUAUUAAAUUAGGCUCAGGAUUCCAUGUCUUCAUACAUGUAAUCCACAUGAGUUAUU